UAAAUUUCCAAAUACGGAGGAAAAGGAACCAACAGGGAUUGCCUCAGUAACGGCGAGUGAAGCGGCAAAAGCUCAAAUUUGAAAUCCCCCCGGGGAGUUGUAAUUUGAAGAUUGCGUCUUGGAGGCGACCGUGUCUAUGUUCCUUGGAACAGGACGUCACAGAGGGUGAGAAUCCCGUGCGGCACGGCCCCCGGCUCCUUAUAAGGCGCUCUCGACGAGUCGAGUUGUUUGGGAAUGCAGCUCAAAGUGGGUGGUAAAUUCCAUCUAAAGCUAAAUACAGGCGAGAGACCGAUAGCGAACAAGUACAGUGAUGGAAAGAUGAAAAGCACUUUGAAAAGAGAGUGAAACAGCACGUGAAAUUGUUGAAAGGGAAGGGCAUGCCGUCAGAUUGUCAGUGUGGGUAAGAAGCGGGGUACAAAGACUGUGGAACGUGGCCCUCGGGUGUUAUAGCCGCAGUUCAUGCCCCGUCUCUUUCCGAGGCCUGCUUUGAGGACACCGACGUAAUGACGGUACGCCGCCCGUCUGAAAAAAAGGGACGAAA
rnacentral:rRNA from 1 species